CCCCCCCUCCCCCUCCCCCCCCGGCACUGGUGUAAAUGCAGUUGACGAGCUUAAUUAUUAAGCUAAGUAGCGGACGGGUGAGUAGCGCGCAUUAAAGGACCUUUAGGAGAGGAAUAACUAUUGGAAACGAGAGCUUAUACCUCAUAAACUGUGGAGUAAAAGGUGAAAGCCGCCUAAAGAUGGGCUUGCGUCUGAUUAGCUUGUUGGUAAUUUCAAAGGUUACCAAGGCAACGAUCAGUAGUUGGUCUAAGAGGAUGAUCAACCACACUGGGACUGAGACACGGCCCAGACCUCUACGGAGGGCAGCAGUGAGGAAUUUUCCGCAAUGGGCGAAAGCCUGACGGAGCAAUGCCGCGUGGAGGAUGAAGGCUUGUGAGUCGUAAACUCCUUUUCUUAGCGAAGAAACAAGACGGUAACUAAGGAAUAAGCAUCGGCUAACUCCGUGCCAGCAGCCGCGGUAAUACGGAGGAUGCAAGCGUUAUUCGGAAUUAUUGGGCGUAAAGCGUCUGUAGGUUGCUUUUUAAGUCUACUGUUAAAUGUUAAGGCUUAACCUUAAAAGAGCGGUAUGAAACUAAAAAGCUUGAGUUUAGUAGAGGUAGAGGGAAUUCUCGGUGUAGUGGUGAAAUGCGUAGAGAUCGAGAAGAACACCAGUUGCGAAAGCGCUCUGCUGGGCUAAUACUGACACUGAGAGACGAAAGCUAGGGGAGCAAAUAGGAUUAGAUACCCUAGUAGUCCUAGCUUGUAACGAUGGAUACUAAGUGUUGGACUUGAAAAUAGUUCAGUGCUGUAGCUAACGCGUUAAGUAUCCCGCCUGGGAAAUAUGCUCGGCAGAGUGAAACUCAAAAGAAUUGACG
rnacentral:rRNA from 1 species